GACGAACGCUGGCGGCGUGCUUAACACAUGCAAGUCGAACGGAAAGGCCCUGCUUGCAGGGUACUCGAGUGGCGAACGGGUGAGUAACACGUGGGUGAUCUGCCCUGCACUUCGGGAUAAGCCUGGGAAACUGGGUCUAAUACCGGAUAGGAGCCAUUUUUAGUGUGAUGGUUGGAAAGUUUUUUCGGUGUAGGAUGAGCUCGCGGCCUAUCAGCUUGUUGGUGGGGUAAUGGCCUACCAAGGCGGCGACGGGUAGCCGGCCUGAGAGGGUGGACGGCCACCUUCGGACUGGGAUCCGGCCCAGACUCCUACGGGAGGCAGCAGUGGGGAAUAUUGCACAAUGGGCGCAAGCCUGAUGCAGCGACGCCGCGUGGGGGAUGACGGCCUUCGGGUUGUAAACUCCAUUCGCUAGGGACGAAGCUUUUUGUGACGGUACCUAGAUAAGAAGCACCGGCUAACUACGUG
rnacentral:rRNA from 1 species